AGUAAAUAGAUACCCGGGUAGUCCACGCCCUAAACGAUGUCAACUAGUUGUUGGGGAUUCAUUUCCUUAGUAAACGUAGCUAAACGCGUGAAAGUUGACCGCCUGGGGAGUACGGUCGCAAGAUUAAAACUCAAAGGAAUUGACGGGGACCCGCACAAGCGGUGGAUGAUGUGGAUUAAUUCGAUGCAACGCGAAAAACCUUACCUACCCUUGACAUGGUCGGAAUCCUGCUGAGAGGCGGGAGUGCUCGAAAGAGAACCGGCGCACAGGUGCUGCAUGGCUGUCGUCAGCUCGUGUCGUGAGAUGUUGGGUUAAGUCCCGCAACGAGCGCAACCCUUGUCCUUAGUUGCUACGCAAGAGCACUCUAAGGAGACUGCCGGUGACAAACCGGAGGAAGGUGGGGAUGACGUCAAGUCCUCAUGGCCCUUAUGGGUAGGGCUUCACACGUCAUACAAUGGUCGGAACAGAGGGUUGCCAAGCCGCGAGGUGGAGCCAAUCCCAGAAAACCGAUCGUAGUCCGGAUCGCAGUCUGCAACUCGACUGC
rnacentral:rRNA from 1 species